rnacentral:rRNA from 1 species
CUACGGGUCGCAGCAGUGAGGAAUAUUGCACAAUGGGGGAAACCCUGAUGCAGCAACGCCGCGUGGAGGAUGACGCAUUUCGGUGUGUAAACUCCUUUUAUGAGUCAAGAAAAUGACGGUAGCUCAUGAAUAAGCACCGGCUAACUCCGUGCCAGCAGCCGCGGUAAUACGGAGGGUGCAAGCGUUGACUCGGAAUCACUGGGCGUAAAGGACGCGUAGGCGGGAUGUCAAGUCAGGUGUGAAAUCCUAUGGCUCAACCAUAGAACUGCACUUGAAACUGGCAACCUAGAGUAUGGGAGGGGGAGAUGGAAUUAGUGGUGUAGGGGUAAUAUCCGUAGAUAUCACUAGGAAUACCGAAAGCGAAGGCGAUCUCCUGGAACAUUACUGACGCUAAGGCGUGAAAGCGUGGGAAGCAAACAGGAUUAGAUACCCGUGUAGUC